AAAAAGGCAAACCCUGGGUUUCCGUGUCCAACUUUGACUGUCCGUCUUAUAUGAAAUUUUUUUAUAAUUCGUAUUUUCAUUGUUGUUAGAUGAUAAAACAUGAUUAAUAUUUUAUGCGUGACUUGUCUUUUUAUUUUUUUUCUUUUUUUUUCAAAUAAGACGGACGGUCAAACGUUGGGCACGAAAACCAGGGUUUGUCUUUUU
rnacentral:pre_miRNA from 1 species